CGUAGGGUUUUGGGGGGGGAUCUUUUUUUAUCUUACAGCUUUGACCUGAGGGUGGACCACAUUGGUAAAAACUUCACAGUGGAUACGGUUAGCACAAACACAAAGAGAAAUCUAUUUCAGACCAGAGAAAUGGGGAAAUGACCCUCUGUGCCAGAGAGUGUGGGAGAAAUCCCGAUGCCCACCCCAUUCUCUCCAGCCCUUUCCCAAUGCCAGCUCCCAUCACAGAGCUCCAUCAUCUCUGCAGUGACAACAGUGGCAUGGACACAUAACACAUGAAGGAGAAGCUCCUGUCAACCUAAGAGAGGAGACAAUUCCCAACUAUGUUUCUGUCUUUUCUCUCAUCACUGAUCCCCCAGGGUGGACCAGUCACAUGGAACUUUGUGACAUCAUAGGAGAGGAGAGGGGCUAACAUUCUUAAAGAAAGCUGGCUAGAGGAACCAGGAAAAGCAACCAAUAAGAUCUGAGAGUGAAGGUAAUUUUAUAGAAAAGAGAGGUAGAGAAGCAGAUGUAAUUCUCUCUAUGAGCCAUCUUCAAUCUUGGGUUCACCACUGAAAUUCAUACCCAUGGAAUAGAACUAAAGAAGCAUUUUAAAGGCUUUGAGAACUGAACUAUACAACGUAAACUUCUGACCUUGUCAACAUGAAAUGCAUGGGAACAGAUCUCACAUCUGCCAAAGGCUUUAAAAACUUAACUGGACAUUGGGUCCCUACCCACAGAGAGUGAACAGAGCUUGAAGACUGAACAUAAUCAGAUUGACUUCCUGAUAACGCAAAAGAUGUUCAUGAAAGGAUUUUAAUGGAACUCAAACAUAGUAUUGAAAGUGUUCAAGAUAUCAUCUAAAAUUACUCAACAUGUUAAUAACUUUGAAAAUAUUGGUGGAAAUAUCACCAAUUCUCAAGAAAAAGCAAUUAAAAGAUGACAACUUGGAGAUGGCCGAGGUGUUGGAAUAAUCAGGAAAAAAAUCUUUAAAGCAGUAUGACAACUAUAUUCUAUGAAAUAUAGGUAGUAUAUUUGUCAGGUUUUCAUCACUAAGACAAAACUGACAUACAAAACUGAAAGGAGAAAGGUUUAUUUAGGAUAUGGUUUCAGAGGAUUCAGUCCAUGAUCAGCUGGAUCCAAAGCAGAAACAUCAUGGCAGAGGGCCUAAAUGGAGAAAAGUUGCACAUCUCACAGCAGCAGUGAAACAGAGUAGAUUGUAAAGAGAGCCAGAAUAGACAGGUGCAGUGACCAGAGAGAGUCUCCAAGGUCCCACUCCCAUGACCCAUCCAGACAUACCCAGAAGUGUGCUUCACUAAUCUCCUAGGUAUUUCUCAAGGCAAUCAGGUUGACAGUCAAGAUUAACCAUCACAGGUAUACAUUUUUACCAGGAAUAUAAAGAAACAUUCUAAUCAGUAGAACAAAAUUACUUUUUUUAACUUCUGGAAAGAUGGCAGAGCAGCAAGCAGCAAAAAAAUCAACCUCUCCAAGAUUCAGAAUCCAGACAUGGGAAAAUAACAACUUGGAGAAGAAAAGAAGCAGGGAAGUAGAUCUCUGGGACCCAGGAAGGCUCCAAAGCAAAAACUGGAGUCCACAGAGAAAAGGAAGAGACACACUUCAAUGUAAGAAAAGGAGGGGGCAAUCUGCACUUUCUACCCAGGUCCCGGCUCAGGGUGUGAGAGAGGAGGAUUGACUCUACAGAGACACAGUGAGAGUGGGUGACUCCAGAGGUCUCCAGGGAGAAAUGCACCAGUGGAAUACAGCAGCGGAUGCUGUGUGCUACAGUAGCUGCCUCAGAACACCCUGAUGUCAAGUGCAAACAGCAUCACCAUGAGAAGGAGGAACUCGCUUUUGUCUCGGCAGCAUCAGUGCAGUGAUGUAUGUCAGAGAUGACACGUGUUCAAUACACCAGGCUGAUUCUGCUGUCCUCUCUCCCACCCAUUACCUGCCACAGCUCCAUCCUAUCCUCCCCUCCAGUGGGAUGCACCUUUCCCGGAAGGAGCAUGGGGCCAUAACUCCACAACGGAGACUUAAAGCAAGCACUUUAUAAGAUUGUUUGGUCAUACAGCAAUGUCCUAUCAUAUUGCCAGGAUACUGCUACAGUUUAUUUUCUUUUUCUAAGGCUCUUGCUGCAACCAGAAGCGGUCAAUGAAUUCUACUAAAAU